UGAGAACAGGAUCAGAACAGGUACAGUGCAAGUAGAGGUGCACACUUGAAUCUCAAGAGAGCUGAGAAAGCUAGGAUUCUGGUUAGCAAGAUUCCUGUCAUGGUUGACACAUUGGUUGCCAAGACCCGGGCUUGGGAAGAGGAACACAGCAUGUCCUUUGCCUACGAUGGUGUUCCUCUGCUAGCUAUGUUAGAUGAGUACGGUAUGCUUAGGCAAGAACGAGAAGAGGAGAAACGGAGGCUGAGGG